rnacentral:lncRNA from 1 species
ACGAAUGAGAUGUGGCCCCAGGCAAGUACAACCAACCCAUGUGUUCAUUUUCUCUUUAUUUAUUUAUUUUGACUCUCUAUUUGAUGUUGAACACUGACAACUGUAUCUCAAAGAUUCCUACCUCCAACACAAAGCAACAAAUAUGUUAAUUCCACCAUUUUUGUUGGGUAGCUAGCUACCUUCAUUGUAACAUUAUUUUAAAGGGAAUUUUAAUUUUUUGUUUUUUAAUCAUCCUUUUGCACCUUCAUUUAUUUUUUGAAAUAGAAUUCUUUUGUGUAUCCUUGUUAUUCUUUUUUCUGAAUAAUAUUUCCAUCUCUGCCAAAACGAAUAGUUUUCUAAAAAUUGUUUUUGCUGAAUUGUUCAUUGAUGGAUGUCCAUUAAUUAGGGAGAAGUACAAAAAGGAGGGAGGAGAGCGUUGGCAUUCGAUUCGUCACAUCCCUAAAGUGUAUAUUGACGGAGAGCCCCUGGCAAGUACAAACCUUGUGUUAAUUUUCUCUUAAUUAUUAGUAAUUCAUUUUGGACAUAAUUAAUAAUAAGACUCUUUAUUUCAUGUUAGAACAGUCACAACUGUGAACUGUGACCUCUUUGGUGUACAAAGUUUUUUUAUUUAAUAUUGUUAAAGCGAUUAAUGAUUAUUGUAUCAAAUGAAUGUCUUACUACUUUGUUGUACAAAGUUUCUUUAACUGUUGAGAUACUAUUACUCUUUAAUUUAUAUCUAGACUAAGAUGUUUUCCAUGAAAUAAUUCAUGUAUCCUCUUGUUUUCCCAUGUGAGGAUGGAUGAUGGCAUCAACCACCUUUAUUUUAAUUUGGUUUCCAGUUUUCCAUAACCUUGUUAUUCUAUUUUCUGCUUUAAAAAGGGAAUACAAUUUAUUCAAAUAGAAGUAUUUAUGAAUGUCUUCUGAAAACAAUAGUGUUUUUUUAGAAUCUCAGAAGACAUAUGCAGAACAAUAGUGUGAGGAUGGAGAACACCAUAUUUUGCUCAGUAUUGUCCAGAGCUUUCCAUAGUAGGGUUGUUGGCAUACAAUGCACCAUAUCUGAGAUGUUUAUGCAGGCAN